rnacentral:rRNA from 1 species
GUCCACGCCGUAAACGAUGUCUACUAGCCGUUGGGGAACUUGAUUCCUUAGUGGCGCAGCUAACGCACUAAGUAGACCGCCUGGGGAGUACGGCCGCAAGGUUAAAACUCAAAUGAAUUGACGGGGGCCCGCACAAGCGGUGGAGCAUGUGGUUUAAUUCGAUGCAACGCGAAGAACCUUACCAGGCCUUGACAUCCUGAGAACUUUCUAGAGAUAGAUUGGUGCCUUCGGGAACUCAGUGACAGGUGCUGCAUGGCU